AGGUUAUUUUGUGGUCGAGUACCGAGGGAAGUUCAUCUCAAGACAUGAGCGGGACAAGAGACAGAAACCCUCUAUAAAUAUCUUUACUAUUUAUCUGGCAUUAUAUGCUCAUAAUGUUAACAACAAAAAGUGCUGAUAAUGUUAUAAUUAAUAAGUUCUAACAUUAUUUUUAUGUGUUUUGUUGCAGACACCAACUGUUGAUGUUCUAUCUCAACAUUCUCCAGAUUCAUGUGAGCGAUAAACCGACUUCAUCCCUCCAACAGACACCAACUGUUGGGGUUCUAUCUCAACAUUCUCCAGAUUCAGAUGUGAGCGAUAAACCGACUUCAUCCCUCCAACAGAAACCAACUGUUGAGGUUCCAUCUCAACAUUCUCCAGAUUCAGAUGUGAGCCAUUAACUGACUUCAUCCCUCCAACAGAAACCAACUGUUGAGGUUCUAUCUCAACAUUCUCUAGAUUCAGAUGACAGCCAUAAACCGACUUCAUCCCUCCAACAGAUUGACAGCAGGACAAAUCGCUGGAAGUGGGUAUGUCUCAAGCUUCUUCCACUUGGUCCACUCCAAAGCGGGCUGCAAAGGGGAAGAAGUGGAAGCAGUUGAAUGACACAUGUUGCAUUUUGUAACUGGCAACAAAGUACCAGGUAAAAAAGAUUGUGAAGCCUGCCUCCAUAAAGAACUAGUAACUCUACAGGACAGAGAUUGGCUUGACAUCAAGUACUACAUCCAUAACAGAAUUAUAUUUAAAAAAGGAAAAAAAAAUGUUUUCCCACAUCUUCUGUGGUAGUUUGAGUAUGUUACCAGCAAUUAAAAAAGCAAAAUAAA